rnacentral:misc_RNA from 1 species
AACCUUAUGGACCUGCGGGCGUAUACCUGCGGAAGGAUCAUUACAAGUGACCCCGGUUUACCACCGGGAUGUUCAUAACCCUUUGUUGUCCGACUCUGUUGCCUCCGGGGCGACCCUGCCUUCGGGCGGGGGCUCCGGGUGGACACUUCAAACUCUUGCGUAACUUUGCAGUCUGAGUAAACUUAAUUAAUAAAUUAAAACUUUCAGCAACGGAUCUCAGAUCGGAUGAGCACACGUCUG